rnacentral:rRNA from 1 species
GAUGAACGCUGGCGGCGUGCCUAAUACAUGCAAGUCGAGCGAACGGACGAUAAGCUUGCUUCUCUGAUGUUAGCGUCUGACGUGUGAGUAGCACGGUGAUAACCUACCUAUAUGACUGGGAUAGCUUCGUGAAUCCGGGGCUAAUACCGUAAAAUAUUUUGAACCUCAUUGUUCAAAAAUAAAAGACUGUCUGACUGUAACUUAUAGAUGGAUCCUCGCUGCAUUAUCUAGUUGGUAAGGUAACGGCUUACCAAGGCAACGAUGCAUAGCCGACCUGAGAGGGUGAGCGGCAAACCUGGAACUGAGACACGCUCCAGACUCCUACGGGAGGAAGAAGAAGGGAAUCUUCCGCAAGGGGGGAAAGCCUGCCGGAGAAACGCCGCGUGAGUGAUGAAGUUCUUCGGAUCGUAAACCUCUUUUAUUAGGGAAGAACAUAUGUGUAAGUAAAUGUGCACAUCGUGACGGUACCUAAUCAGAAAGCCACGGCUAACUACGUG